rnacentral:piRNA from 1 species
GAGCUCAUCAAGAGACUGUCAGUGUCGC